GCUCAAGUGGCAGAGUGCUAGCCUUGAGCAAAAAGAAGCAAGGGACAGCACAUUAGAACUAUAUUGGAAGACCAUUUUUCACAUGCUUGGCUCACAAUUAUCAAAAACUUGGUAACACUGUUGGUGAUAGAGGAAAUGAACACAUGUACAAACACUGCUGGCCCGAAUGCCAACUGGUUCACAAUCUAUUGGAAUUAAAAAUAUGAUUUCCAGCUGGGUGCUGGUGGUUCAGGCCUGUAAUCCUAGCUACUCUAGAGGCUGAGAUCUGAAGAUGGUGAUUCAAAGUUAGCACAGGCAGGGAAGCUGGUGAGACUCUUACCUCCAAUAGCCACCAGAAAACCAGAAGUUGAGCUGUGGCUCAAAUGGCAGAAGGUUAGCCUUGAGCAAAAGACUCAAGGACAGCACCCAGGCCCUGGUGAUUCCCACUGAGUAGCAAUUCCACUUUCAGAUACUCUUGGGUACUUAGACAACAAAUGUGGCCGACUAUUCAUUACAGCUUUGCUUAUAAUAGCAUUGCUCAUAGCAAAGGAACAAAACAACCUAAAAUCCUCUUCAAUAGAAGGCUACUUCAUACAAUAAAAUGCUCUGAAAAAGGCAAUGUGCAAGACUAUCAAUAUAAUAUAGUGCCAUUUUUGUAAAAUGCAGAGGAAAAAUGGAAACUGUCCUUGUCACGGCUAGAUUUUGAAAUGUCCCCCACAGACCUACUGUUGAAGGCUUGGUCCCCAGGUGGUGGUGCCAUUUUGUGACAUUCUGGCAACUUUAACAGAUAAGGCUUAGAUGGAGGAAGUAGGGCACUGUGGAUGUGUCCGUGGGGGGCUGUGUCUGGUUGCACACUCAACCUUUCUUUUCUCUGUGUCCUUGCAACCAUGAUAUGAAUUGCUUUGCUACCCACUAUAAUGGACUGAAACCGUGGGCUCAAACUAAUCCUUUCUU